ensembl:lncRNA
AUAGACUCCUCCUACCUGACUGACUGGGGGAGUCUUCCUGGACUGAUGUAAUGGAUAGACUCCUCCUACCUGACUGACUGGGGGGGAGUCUUCCUGGACUGAUGUAAUGGAUAGACUCCUCCUACCUGACUGACUGGGGGGAGUCUACCUGGACUGAUGUAAUGGAUAGACUCCUCCUACAUGACUGAUGUAAUGGAUAGACUCCUCCCACCUGACUGACUGGGGGAGUCUUCCUGGACUGAUGUAAUGGAUAGACUCCUCCUACAUGACUGAUGUAAUGGAUAGACUCCUCCUACCUGACUGAUUUAAUGGAUAGACUCCUCCUACCUGACUGAUGUAAUGGAUAGACUCCUCCUACCUGACUGACUGGGGGGAGUCUUCCUGCACUGAUGUAAUGGAUAGACUCCUCCUACUUGACUGAUGUAAUGGAUAGACUCCUCCUACCUGACUGACUGGGGGAGUCUUCCUGGACUAAUUUCUCUCUUGGACUUUAGCAUAACAAGUCAAGCUUUGAAGUCAACGGGAGAUUCACCCCCAAAAAGUCCAGUUCCAUGUGGGUCUUCCUCGUUGGUCUACAGCCGUUUCUGGAAGGAGGAAGAGCUCAUGGAGUCGUAACAGUACAGGAAGGAGGGAAGAGCUCAUGGAUCGUAACAGUACAGGAAGGAGGGAAGAGCUCAUGGAGUCGUAACAGUACAGGAAGGAGGGAAGAGCUCAUGGAGUCGUAACAGUACAGGAAGGAGGGAAGAGCUCAUGGAGUCGUAACAGUACUAUCCCAGUACUGUUCAGUCUCUACAUUUAUUUGUCCUUUUGGUUGUGGUCAAUGAUGGGACUAUUUCCUGGUGAUCUUUGUCCCCCCCUGAACUAGAAGGAUAUUUUAUCACCUGACUGUUAGAAUGGUGACAGUCUGUUUUCCUUUUUAUAUCAUUUUUCAUCAAGCUCCUCGUCUUAAUGUGUGUCUGUGUGAUGAUGU